GGGUGCUUGAGGCUGUCUGCCUCGGGCAUGCAGCCGUAAGGCAGACAGAGAAAAGCCCCAGUUAACAUUACGCGUCUUGCAGGACGCUUAACAUUAAUCUGAGGCCAAAUCUAUGACUUACAAACUUAGGUUAGCCUCUUACGUGCCGAAAGGCAAGGAGAAGUAGGCUAUGAAG
rnacentral:antisense_RNA from 14 species